GUGCUGUCAGCAGCAUGCCUGCCUUCUGCAAGCCCCUCUUCCCCGAUCCCCAGCCCACACUUCCAAUGAGCUGUGGGCCAGGAAACCAGCCCAUCACACUUGUCCAUGCUGCGCUUAAAGCGGGAGGAAGGAGGACCCAAUGCAGGGCCCGAAAAGUCCACCGACCUCCAGGAGGUAGAGGUUGAUGAUCCAGGCAGGUGACCUUCGGCGAGGGAGCACGUUGAAAGGCCGUGGGCCGUGCAGACAGCUGGGGGACACCGUCCCGGGUGUGACCUUGGGCCACACAGCAGGGUGGUGGACUUGCUGCUAGAAUUGGGCUCCAGGGCUGAAGCCGGCCCCUCUGAUCUGGCAUUGGCCGGCUCCAUUCACCCUUUUUUGGGCUUACUGCCACAGAGACUUCCUGUGAGUGGAGCUGGACCCAAGACGUCAGAGUUCCGGGGGCACCA
rnacentral:sRNA from 1 species